rnacentral:lncRNA from 1 species
UCAUGUUGUAGAGAAAUGAAUGCACAUCAGCAUUAAUAUCCAGUGUCGGUCGGUAGGUAGGUUGGUAGUGGGGGAAAGUAUAUAUUCUUUGCGACGACAACAUCAUCAUCAUCGUCAGCGUCUUUUACAAGCAUAUCAAGAACAGGGAUCUGGACAUCGCAUGUGAGACAUGAUCGCUUGCUUCCGGUUGCAGAUUCAUGAAUCCUCAAGUUUUAGGAAGAGAAGCCUCAUCCGCGAGCAGUGUCAUACAGUGAGAUCACUGUGCUAUACGAAGCAUCGCAUGCCGAGGAGGAUCCGAGCACCGAGUCGCAAGGAUACGGCACUGUCGCUGACCCGCUGCGGUACUUGGCCUUUGGACGACAAGCAGAGAUGUGCCUGUGCACACGCACACGCACAGUGAAGUCCUCGUGGUAAAAGAGACGGAGAACUUUGUUGUUGGGUCAGCUCGGCUCGAGUAUGAACUUUCGCCCUCGGAGGGAGGGCAUCGCAGCAGAGUUAAAAACCAGGGCGAACAUCAUCAUCAUCAUCAUCAUCCGGUCGCGUUGCAAAGUGUUCAGAAAAGUCCACACAGAAUUGGUUUGUAGGGCACAAGUGCAUGUGAAAGACCUCUGUCCCAUCCAUGCACAUGUACAGAAUUCUUUUUUCCUCUCUUGCGGGGUUUCUUCCCCCUUCCAAGUUGAUGGUAUGCAUAGAUACAUCAAGUCGAUGAUUUGGAUGAUGCAGGGUCCUCCGCGUGUCACAUCCCCCCACCCCCCGGGGAUAAAUAAGCGUGUAGCA